UGGGGAAUUUUGGACAAUGGGCGCAAGCCUGAUCCAGCAAUGCCGCGUGUGUGAAGAAGGCCUUCGGGUUGUAAAGCACUUUUGUCCGGAAAGAAAUCCUCUGCCCGAAUACGGCGGGGGGAUGACGGUACCGGAAGAAUAAGCACCGGCUAACUACGUGCCAGCAGCCGCGGUAAUACGUAGGGUGCAAGCGUUAAUCGGAAUUACUGGGCGUAAAGCGUGCGCAGGCGGUUCGUUAAGACAGAUGUGAAAUCCCCGGGCUUAACCUGGGAACUGCAUUUGUGACUGGCGGACUCGAGUAUGGCAGAGGGGGGUAGAAUUCCACGUGUAGCAGUGAAAUGCGUAGAGAUGUGGAGGAAUACCGAUGGCGAAGGCAGCCCCCUGGGCCAAUACUGACGCUCAUGCACGAAAGCGUGGGGAGCAAACA
rnacentral:rRNA from 1 species